CAGUCGCCGCGGGAAUACGUAGGGUGCGAGCGUUAAUCGGAAUUACUGGGCGUAAAGCGUGCGCAGGCGGUUAUGUAAGACAGGUGUGAAAUCCCCGGGCUUAACCUGGGAACUGCGCUUGUGACUGCACAGCUAGAGUAUGGCAGAGGGGGGCGGAAUUCCACGCGUAGCAGUGAAAUGCGUAGAGAUGUGGAGGAACACCGAUGGCGAAGGCAGCCCCCUGGGCCAAUACUGACGCUCAUGCACGAAAGCGUGGGGAGCAAACAGGAUUAGAUACCCGGGUAGUCCCUGUCUCUUAUAC
rnacentral:rRNA from 1 species